UACGAAGGGUGCAAGCGUUACUCGGAAUUACUGGGCGUAAAGAGUGCGUAGGCGGUCCCGCAAGUCCGCUGUGAAAGCCCCGGGCUUAACCUGGGAAUGGCAGUGGAAACUAUGGGACUUGAAUCUGGCAGAGGGGGGUGGAAUGCCACGUGUAGCAGUGAAAUGCGUAGAUAUGUGGCGGAACACCGAUGGCGAAGGCAGCCCCCUGGGCUGAGAUUGACGCUCAGGCACGAAAGCGUGGGGAGCAAACAGG
rnacentral:rRNA from 1 species